GGUGAGAUGGCCGAGCUGGUUAUGGCGCUAGGGUACGCAUCAUGUGACUCUCUGCGGCGAAUGAUUAAACUAACAAGGAUAUAGUUAAGGCAUUCCUUAGCAUUAAUUCCUAGUCACGAAAGUGGCGUGGGUUCGAGUCCCACUCUCAUCA
rfam:Clohesyomyces aquaticus strain CBS 115471 BCR34scaffold_4, whole genome shotgun sequence.